rnacentral:rRNA from 2 species
GUGCCUACCUGGAUCUCGCCAUGCAGUCGAACGAUGAUGCCCAGCUUGCUGGGCGGAUUAGUGGCGAACGGGUGAGUAAUACGUGAGUAACCUGCCCUUGACUCUGGGAUAAGCCUGGGAAACUGGGUCUAAUACUGGAUACUACCUCUUACCGCAUGGUGGGUGGUGGAAAGGGUUUUACUGGUUUUGGAUGGGCUCACGGCCUAUCAGCUUGUUGGUGGGGUAAUGGCUCACCAAGGCGACGACGGGUAGCCGGCCUGAGAGGGUGACCGGCCACACUGGGACUGAGACACGGCCCAGACUCCUACGGGAGGCAGCAGUGGGGAAUAUUGCACAAUGGGCGGAAGCCUGAUGCAGCGACGCCGCGUGAGGGAUGACGGCCUUCGGGUUGUAAACCUCUUUCAGUAGGGAAGAAGCGAGAGUGACGGUACCUGCAGAAGAAGCGCCGGCUAACUACGUGCCAGCAGCCGCGGUAAUACGUAGGGCGCAAGCGUUGUCCGGAAUUAUUGGGCGUAAAGAGCUCGUAGGCGGUUUGUCGCGUCUGCUGUGAAAGCCCGGGGCUCAACCCCGGGUCUGCAGUGGGUACGGGCAGACUAGAGUGCAGUAGGGGAGACUGGAAUUCCUGGUGUAGCGGUGAAAUGCGCAGAUAUCAGGAGGAACACCGAUGGCGAAGGCAGGUCUCUGGGCUGUUACUGACGCUGAGGAGCGAAAGCAUGGGGAGCGAACAGGAUUAGAUACCCUGGUAGUCCAUGCCGUAAACGUUGGGCACUAGGUGUGGGGGACAUUCCACGUUUUCCGCGCCGUAGCUAACGCAUUAAGUGCCCCGCCUGGGGAGUACGGCCGCAAGGCUAAAACUCAAAGGAAUUGACGGGGGCCCGCACAAGCGGCGGAGCAUGCGGAUUAAUUCGAUGCAACGCGAAGAACCUUACCAAGGCUUGACAUUCACCGGACCGCCCCAGAGAUGGGGUUUCCCUUCGGGGCUGGUGGACAGGUGGUGCAUGGUUGUCGUCAGCUCGUGUCGUGAGAUGUUGGGUUAAGUCCCGCAACGAGCGCAACCCUCGUUCUAUGUUGCCAGCACGUGAUGGUGGGGACUCAUAGGAGACUGCCGGGGUCAACUCGGAGGAAGGUGGGGAUGACGUCAAAUCAUCAUGCCCCUUAUGUCUUGGGCUUCACGCAUGCUACAAUGGCCGGUACAAAGGGUUGCGAUACUGUGAGGUGGAGCUAAUCCCAAAAAGCCGGUCUCAGUUCGGAUUGAGGUCUGCAACUCGACCUCAUGAAGUCGGAGUCGCUAGUAAUCGCAGAUCAGCAACGCUGCGGUGAAUACGUUCCCGGGCCUUGUACACACCGCCCGUCAAGUCACGAAAGUUGGUAACACCCGAAGCCGGUGGCCUAACCCCUGUGGGAGGGAGCCGUC